rnacentral:rRNA from 1 species
AGUGAACGCUGGCGGUAGGCCUAACACAUGCAAGUCGAACGGCAGCACAGUAAGAGCUUGCUCUUACGGGUGGCGAGUGGCGGACGGGUGAGGAAUACAUCGGAAUCUACUUUUUCGUGGGGGAUAACGUAGGGAAACUUACGCUAAUACCGCAUACGACCUACGGGUGAAAGCAGGGGAUCUUCGGACCUUGCGCGAUUGAAUGAGCCGAUGUCGGAUUAGCUAGUUGGCGGGGUAAAGGCCCACCAAGGCGACGAUCCGUUGCUGGUCUGAGAGGAUGAUCAGCCACACUGGAACUGAGACACGGUCCAGACUCCUACGGGAGGCAGCAGUGGGGAAUAUUGGACAAUGGGCGCAAGCCUGAUCCAGCCAUACCGCGUGGGUGAAGAAGGCCUUCGGGUUGUAAAGCCCUUUUGUUGGGAAAGAAAAGCAGCAGGUUAAUACCCCGCUGUGCUGACGGUACCCAAAGAAUAAGCACCGGCUAACUUCGUG